GGUUAAGCGACUAAGCGUACACGGUGGAUGCCCUGGCAGUCAGAGGCGAUGAAGGGCGUGCUAAUCUGCGAUAAGCGCCGGUAAGGUGAUAUGAACCGUUAUAACCGGCGAUACCCGAAUGGGGAAACCCAGUGUGAUUCGUCACACUAUCAUUAACUGAAUCCAUAGGUUAAUGAGGCGAACCGGGGGAACUGAAACAUCUAAGUACCCCGAGGAAAAGAAAUCAACCGAGAUUCCCCCAGUAGCGGCGAGCGAACGGGGAGGAGCCCAGAGCCUGAAUCAGCAUGUGUGUUAGUGGAAGCGUCUGGAAAGGCGCGCGAUACAGGGUGACAGCCCCGUACACAAAAGCGCAUGUGCUGUGAGCUCGAUGAGUAGGGCGGGACACGUGGUAUCCUGUCUGAAUAUGGGGGGACCAUCCUCCAAGGCUAAAUACUCCUGACUGACCGAUAGUGAACCAGUACCGUGAGGGAAAGGCGAAAAGAACCCCGGCGAGGGGAGUGAAAAAGAACCUGAAACCGUGUACGUACAAGCAGUGGGAGCCUCUUUUAUGGGGUGACUGCGUACCUUUUGUAUAAUGGGUCAGCGACUUAUAUUCUGUAGCAAGGUUAACCGAAUAGGGGAGCCGGAGGGAAACCGAGUCUUAACCGGGCGUUAAGUUGCAGGGUAUAGACCCGAAACCCGGUGAUCUAGCCAUGGGCAGGUUGAAGGUUGGGUAACACUAACUGGAGGACCGAACCGACUAAUGUUGAAAAAUUAGCGGAUGACCUGUGGCUGGGGGUGAAAGGCCAAUCAAACCGGGAGAUAGCUGGUUCUCCCCGAAAGCUAUUUAGGUAGCGCCUCGUGAAUUCAUCUCCGGGGGUAGAGCACUGUUUCGGCUAGGGGGCCAUCCCGGCUUACCAACCCGAUGCAAACUGCGAAUACCGGAGAAUGUUAUCACGGGAGACACACGGCGGGUGCUAACGUCCGUCGUGAAGAGGGAAACAACCCAGACCGCCAGCUAAGGUCCCAAAGUCAUGGUUAAGUGGGAAACGAUGUGGGAAGGCCCAGACAGCCAGGAUGUUGGCUUAGAAGCAGCCAUCAUUUAAAGAAAGCGUAAUAGCUCACUGGUCGAGUCGGCCUGCGCGGAAGAUGUAACGGGGCUAAACCAUGCACCGAAGCUGCGGCAGCGAACGUAUCACUUAAAGCGAUUCAGCGGGUUACGAUUGACGGAGCGAAGCGACGUCAAAGCGUAUACAAAGUCGAGUCGGUUUAAGGAUACGUUCGUUGGGUAGGGGAGCGUUCUGUAAGCCUGCGAAGGUGGCCUGUGAGGGUUGCUGGAGGUAUCAGAAGUGCGAAUGCUGACAUAAGUAACGAUAAAGCGGGUGAAAAGCCCGCUCGCCGGAAGACCAAGGGUUCCUGUCCAACGUUAAUCGGGGCAGGGUGAGUCGACCCCUAAGGCGAGGCCGAAAGGCGUAGUCGAUGGGAAACGGGUUAAUAUUCCCGUACUUGGUGUUACUGCGAAGGGGGGACGGAGAAGGCUAUGUUGGCCGGGCGACGGUUGUCCCGGUUUAAGCGUGUAGGUGUGUGUUCCAGGUAAAUCCGGUUCACUUUAACACUGAGGCGUGAUGACGAGGCACUACGGUGCUGAAGCAACAAAUGCCCUGCUUCCAGGAAAAGCCUCUAAGCAUCAGGUAACAUCAAAUCGUACCCCAAACCGACACAGGUGGUCAGGUAGAGAAUACCAAGGCGCUUGAGAGAACUCGGGUGAAGGAACUAGGCAAAAUGGUGCCGUAACUUCGGGAGAAGGCACGCUGACACGUAGGUGAAGUGAUUUACUCACGGAGCUGAAGUCAGUCGAAGAUACCAGCUGGCUGCAACUGUUUAUUAAAAACACAGCACUGUGCAAACACGAAAGUGGACGUAUACGGUGUGACGCCUGCCCGGUGCCGGAAGGUUAAUUGAUGGGGUCAGCGCAAGCGAAGCUCCUGAUCGAAGCCCCGGUAAACGGCGGCCGUAACUAUAACGGUCCUAAGGUAGCGAAAUUCCUUGUCGGGUAAGUUCCGACCUGCACGAAUGGCGUAAUGAUGGCCAGGCUGUCUCCACCCGAGACUCAGUGAAAUUGAACUCGCUGUGAAGAUGCAGUGUACCCGCGGCAAGACGGAAAGACCCCGUGAACCUUUACUAUAGCUUGACACUGAACAUUGAGCCUUGAUGUGUAGGAUAGGUGGGAGGCUUUGAAGUGUGGACGCCAGUCUGCAUGGAGCCGACCUUGAAAUACCACCCUUUAAUGUUUGAUGUUCUAACGUGGACCCGUAAUCCGGGUUGCGGACAGUGUCUGGUGGGUAGUUUGACUGGGGCGGUCUCCUCCUAAAGAGUAACGGAGGAGCACGAAGGUUGGCUAAUCCUGGUCGGACAUCAGGAGGUUAGUGCAAUGGCAUAAGCCAGCUUGACUGCGAGCGUGACGGCGCGAGCAGGUGCGAAAGCAGGUCAUAGUGAUCCGGUGGUUCUGAAUGGAAGGGCCAUCGCUCAACGGAUAAAAGGUACUCCGGGGAUAACAGGCUGAUACCGCCCAAGAGUUCAUAUCGACGGCGGUGUUUGGCACCUCGAUGUCGGCUCAUCACAUCCUGGGGCUGAAGUAGGUCCCAAGGGUAUGGCUGUUCGCCAUUUAAAGUGGUACGCGAGCUGGGUUUAGAACGUCGUGAGACAGUUCGGUCCCUAUCUGCCGUGGGCGCUGGAGAACUGAGGGGGGCUGCUCCUAGUACGAGAGGACCGGAGUGGACGCAUCACUGGUGUUCGGGUUGUCAUGCCAAUGGCACUGCCCGGUAGCUAAAUGCGGAAGAGAUAAGUGCUGAAAGCAUCUAAGCACGAAACUUGCCCCGAGAUGAGUUCUCCCUGAGACUUAGAGUCUCCUGAAGGAACGUUGAAGACGACGACGUUGAUAGGCCGGGUGUGUAAGCGCAGCGAUGCGUUGAGCUAACCGGUACUAAUGAACCGUGAGGCUUAACCUU
rnacentral:rRNA from 1 species